rnacentral:rRNA from 1 species
UACGUAGGGCGCAAGCGUUGUCCGGAAUUAUUGGGCGUAAAGAGCUCGUAGGCGGCUUGUCACGUCGGUUGUGAAAGCCCGGGGCUUAACCCCGGGUCUGCAGUCGAUACGGGCAGGCUAGAGUGUGGUAGGGGAGAUCGGAAUUCCUGGUGUAGCGGUGAAAUGCGCAGAUAUCAGGAGGAACACCGGUGGCGAAGGCGGAUCUCUGGGCCAUUACUGACGCUGAGACACGAAAGCGUGGGGAGCAAACAGG